rnacentral:rRNA from 1 species
UACGUAGGUGGCGAGCGUUGUCCGGAUUUACUGGGCGUAAAGGGAGCGUAGGCGGACUUUUAAGUGAGAUGUGAAAUACCCGGGCUCAACUUGGGUGCUGCAUUUCAAACUGGAAGUCUAGAGUGUAGGAGAGGAGAAUGGAAUUCCUAGUGUAGCGGUGAAAUGCGUAGAGAUUAGGAAGAACACCAGUGGCGAAGGCGAUUCUCUGGACUGUAACUGACGCUGAGGCUCGAAAGCGUGGGGAGCAAACAGGAUUAGAUACCCCUGUA